rnacentral:rRNA from 1 species
UACGUAGGUGGCGAGCGUUGUCCGGAAUUACUGGGUGUAAAGGGCGUGUAGGCGGGUCGACAAGUUGGAUGUGAAAUGUACCGGCUCAACUGGUACGCUGUACCCAAAACUGUCGAUCUUGAGUGUUGGAGAGGAUAGUGGAAUUCCUAGUGUAGCGGUAAAAUGCGUAGAUAUUAGGAGGAACACCAGUGGCGAAGGCGGCUAUCUGGACAACAACUGACGCUGAGGCGCGAAAGCGUGGGGAGCAAACAGGAUUAGAUACCCCGGUAGUCCCUGA